UUGCCUGCGUGGUGACGUAGCGCGUUGCCGUGGGGCGGGACGGUUGGUGGGAGCAUCGCCGGGAGCUGGGGAUGGGGCAGCCGCAGCCAGAGCAGCCGGGGACCGGGUGCCGCUUCCCGCCCCUGAGCCGCUUCUGUUCAAUGGAGGGGUUCCUACCAGUCAGCCAUGCGUAAGGACAAGUAAUGGAGUUCAAGAAGGACUGCCUGAAUAAUGAAUUUUGGGAAUUCUUAAAGAUAAGCAUGAGACCUCCGUGGCACAACUGCAUGUGUAGUCGCUCUUGAAGUAAUUGCACACCUAAUUGGCUGACAAUCUUGGCAUUUAAAAAUAUAUAUAUAAAGACAGGGGACAUCUGUAUUUAUGAGUUGUCAAAUA
rnacentral:lncRNA from 1 species